rnacentral:rRNA from 1 species
AUUGAACGCUGGCGGCAUGCCUUACACAUGCAAGUCGAACGGUAACAGGUUAAGCUGACGAGUGGCGAACGGGUGAGUAAUAUAUCGGAACGUGCCCAGUCGUGGGGGAUAACGUAGCGAAUGCUACGCUAAUACCGCAUACGAUCUACGGAUGAAAGCGGGGGAUCGCAAGACCUCGCGCGAUUGGAGCGGCCGAUAUCAGAUUAGCUAGUUGGUGGGGUAAAAGCUCACCAAGGCGACGAUCUGUAGCUGGUCUGAGAGGACGACCAGCCACACUGGAACUGAGACACGGUCCAGACUCCUACGGGAGGCAGCAGUGGGGAAUUUUGGACAAUGGGCGCAAGCCUGAUCCAGCAAUGCCGCGUGCAGGAUGAAGGCCUUCGGGUUGUAAACUGCUUUUGUACGGAACGAAACGGUCCUUUCUAAUACAAGGGGCUAAUGACGGUACCGUAAGAAUAAGCACCGGCUAACUACGUGCCAGCAGCCGCAGUAACAC